rnacentral:rRNA from 1 species
UGUCUUGUAAAAUGGAAUGAUGGGAAUUUAAACCUCUUCCAGAGUAUCAAUUGGAGGGCAAGUCUGGUGCCAGCAGCCGCGGUAAUUCCAGCUCCAAUAGCGUAUAUUAAAUUUGUUGCAGUUAAAAAGCUCGUAGUUGAAUUUCUGCUGCAUUACAUUUCUCUUGUUUGAGUUUGUUAUUGUGGCUUAUUUCGGAUUGAUUUUUAUCAUUCCGGAUGAUUACUUUGAGAAAAUUAGAGUGCUCAAAGCAGGCUUUUGCCUUGAAUAGUUUAGCAUGGAAUAAUAGAGUAGGACUUUGGUUCUAUUUUGUUGGUUUUAGGUACCAAAGUAAUGGUUAAUAGGAACAGUUGGGGGCAUUCGUAUUUAACUGUCAGAGGUGAAAUUCUUAGAUUUGUUAAAGACGAACUACUGCGAAAGCAUUUGCCAAGGAUGUUUUCAUUAAUCAAGAACGAAAGUUAGGGGAUCGAAGACGAUCAGAUACCGUCGUAGUCCUACCCAUAAACUAA